GUGCCCAGUGGGCCACUUUUGGUAAGCAGAACUGGCGCUGUGGGAUGAACCAAACGUAAUGUUACGGUGCCCAAAUUAACAACUCAUGCAGAUACCAUGAAAGGCGUUGGUUGCUUAAAACAGCAGGACGGUGAUCAUGGAAGUCGAAAUCCGCUAAGGAGUGUGUAACAACUCCCAUGCCGAAGCAACUAGCCCUUAAAAUGGAUGGCGCUUAAGUUGUAUACCUAUACAUUACCGCUAAAGUAGAUGAUUUAUAUUACUUGUGAUAUAAAUUUUGAAACUUUAGUGAGUAGGAAGGUACAAUGGUAUGCGUAGAAGUGUUUGGCGUAAGCCUGCAUGGAGCUGCCAUUGGUACAGAUCUUGGUGGUAGUAGCAAAUAAUCGAAUGAGACCUUGGAGGACUGAAGUGGAGAAGGGUUUCGUGUGAACAGUGGUUGAUCACGAGUUAGUCGGUCCUAAGUUCAAGGCGAAAGCCGAAAAUUUUCAAGUAAAACAAAAAUGCCUAACUAUAUAAACAAAGCGAAUAUAAUACACUUGAAUAAUUUUGAACGAAAGGGAAUACGGUUCCAAUUCCGUAACCUGUUGAGUAUCCGUUUGUUAUUAAAUAUGGGCCUCGUGCUCAUCCUGGCAACAGGAACGACCAUAAAGAAGCCGUCGAGAGAUAUCGGAAGAGUUUUCUUUUCUGUUUUAUAGCCGUACUACCAUGGAAGUCUUUCGCAGAGAGAUAUGGUAGAUGGGCUAGAAGAGCAUGACAUAUACUGUUGUGUCGAUAUUUUCUCCUCGGACCUUGAAAAUUUAUGGUGGGGACACGCAAACUUCUCAACAGGCCGUACCAAUAUCCGCAGCUGGUCUCCAAGGUGAAGAGUCUCUAGUCGAUAGAAUAAUGUAGGUAAGGGAAGUCGGCAAAUUAGAUCCGUAACUUCGGGAUAAGGAUUGGCUCUGAAGAUUGAGAUAGUCGGGCUUGAUUGGGAAACAAUAACAUGGUUUAUGUGCUCGUUCUGGGUAAAUAGAGUUUCGAAUCCACCACAGUGGCGA
rnacentral:ncRNA from 1 species